UACGGGGGGGGCAAGCGUUGUUCGGAAUUACUGGGCGUAAAGGGCUCGUAGGUGGCCAACUAAGUCAGACGUGAAAUCCCUCAGCUUAACUGGGGAACUGCGUCUGAUACUGGAUGGCUUGAGUUUGGGAGAGGGAUGCGGAAUUCCAGGUGUAGCGGUGAAAUGCGUAGAUAUCAGGAAGAACACCCGUGGCGAAGGCGGCUCACUGGACCACAACUGACGCUGAGGCGCGAAAGCCAGGGGAGCAAACGGG
rnacentral:rRNA from 1 species